CAGUCGGGUCCGCAAAGAGAACGCACAAAAAAAACAAGGCUGAUGGUAAAUCUAUAAAAAAAAUGGAAGGCUAAGUCGUUACAUCUUAAGCAUAUUAUCCGAGGAACUUGUUCUGUCCCACAACUUGGAGG